ACAUCCAAGGAAGGCAGCAGGCGCGUAAAUUACCCAAUCCUGACACAGGGAGGUAGUGACAAUAAAUAACAAUGCCGGGCCUUUAUAGGUCUGGCAAUUGGAAUGAGAACAAUUUAAACCCCUUAUCGAGUAUCAAUUGGAGGGCAAGUCUGGUGCCAGCAGCCGCGGUAAUUCCAGCUCCAAUAGCGUAUAUUAAAGUUGUUGCAGUUAAAAAGCUCGUAGUUGGAUUUGUGGCUGUCGCGUGCGGCUCGGCAUUCGUGCCGCCGCUUGCUAGCGUCGCCAUCCUUGGGUGGAACCUGUGUGGCAUUAGGUUGUCGUACAGGGGAUGCCCAUCGUUUACUGUGAAAAAAUUAGGGUGUUCAAAGCAGGCUUACGCCGUUGAAUAUAUUAGCAUGGAAUAAUAAGAUAGGACCUUGGUACUAUUUUGUUGGUUUGCGCACAAGGUAAUGAUUAAUAGGGACA
rnacentral:rRNA from 1 species